CAAUAAGCGGAGGAAAAGAAACCAACAGGGAUUACCUCAGUAACGGCGAGUGAAGCGGUAACAGCUCAAAUUUGAAAGCUAGCUCUUUUAGGGUUCGCAUUGUAAUUUGUAGAAGAUGCUUCGGGUGUGGCCCCGGUCUAAGUUCCUUGGAACAGGACGUCAUAGAGGGUGAGAAUCCCGUAUGUGACUGGGUGCUUUCGCUCAUGUGAAGCUCUUUCGACGAGUCGAGUUGUUUGGGAAUGCAGCUCAAAAUGGGUGGUAAAUUUCAUCUAAAGCUAAAUAUUGGCCAGAGACCGAUAGCGCACAAGUAGAGUGAUCGAAAGAUGAAAAGCACUUUGGAAAGAGAGUUAAACAGUACGUGAAAUUGUUGAAAGGGAAGCGCUUGCAACCAGACUUGCGCGCUGACGAUCAUCCGGGCUUCUGCCCGGUGCACUCGUCUGCGCUCAGGCCAGCAUCGGUUUCGGUGGUGGGAUAAAGGCCUUGGGAAUGUAGCUCCUCUCGGGGAGUGUUAUAGCCCUCGGUGCAAUGCCGCCUACCGGGACCGAGG
rnacentral:rRNA from 1 species